GAAGAAGAAGAAGACGAAGAAGAAGUCUCGAGAUCUGAUUGGUUAUCGUGACUGUCCGUUCGUGUACAGCGCACAGGAGCCUGUUUUUGUUGGUUCUGAACGCCUCAGAAAGAAUUCAAUGAUCCUGGCAACACAAGCCUGCUGAGAUAUGAUUAGAUAAAAACUUUACAAUAAUAUACAACACUGGAAGCGGCGAAAUCAAGCGGAAAUAAUGAGACGAAGAAAAUACACCAUGGGGAAUUAUUCUAUCUACAAAAACAACUUUUCACAGUAUGUUGGGUCAAGCAGAGAAGUUAGCUGCCCCUGGCAACCGUAGUGUCAGUAGUGAAGGACUUCCUCGCUGUCUUCAACGUCUGCGUCUCUCCUGCGUUUUCACGCACGUCCGUGCAUGUGCAUAAAUGCCAUGGAAACCGCUGACGCGGAAUGGGGCGUCAUUUGCCCCAGGGCCUUCUGAAGCUCUGGAGUCGCUUCAAAGCGUUGGAGAAACCGGAGGAUCCAGCCAGAGCAGCCGGUGGGCGAAGGUGGUCCAGAUGGGCCUAACCCCGUCCACGUCCAUCCUUCACCCACUCCUCAGGUGGGUCACUCAUACACACCCCAUCCACCUUCUCCUCCACGCUCUCUUAUUUUUUGGUCUGCUGGUCCUUCUGUUUCUCCUUCACACUCUCCUGUUCCUUGUUGCUUUGAUGUCCUUGCCUUUUCUCCUUCACCCUCACCCUCUCCUACUCCUUCUUUUUCUUCUUCUUCUUCCUCACUCUCUUCUGCUUCCUCUGGUACUUGGUGCUCUGACAUCUUUCCUUUUUCUCCUUACCCCUUCUCCUUCUCCUUCACCCUCUCCUAUUCCUUCUUUGUCUUCUUCUUCUUCCUCACUCUCCUCUGCUUACUCUGCUUCUCUGUGCUCUGACAUCUCUUCUUUUCUCCUUACCCCCUGUCCUACUCCCGCUUUUUUCUUCUUCCUCGCCCUCCUCUGCUUACUCUAG
rnacentral:lncRNA from 1 species